GUGGGGAAUAUUGGGCAAUGGGCGAAAGCCUGACCCAGCAACGCCGCGUGAAGGAAGAAGGUUUUCGGAUCGUAAACUUCUAUCCUUGGUGAAGAUAAUGACGGUAGCCAAGAAGGAAGCCCCGGCUAACUACGUGCCAGCAGCCGCGGUAAUACGUAGGGGGCAAGCGUUGUCCGGAAUGAUUGGGCGUAAAGGGCGCGUAGGCGGCCCGUGAAGUCUGAAGUGAAAGUCCUGCUUUUAAGGUGGGAAUUGCUUUGGAUACUGUCGGGCUUGAGUGCAGGAGAGGUAAGCGGAAUUCCCGGUGUGGCGGUGAAAUGCGUAGAGAUCGGGAGGAACACCAGUGGCGAAGGCGGCUUACUGGACUGUAACUGACGCUGAGGCGCGAAAGUGUGGGGAGCAAACAGGAUUAGAAACCCUGGUAGUCC
rnacentral:rRNA from 1 species